rnacentral:rRNA from 1 species
UAGGGAAUCUUCCGCAAUGGACGAAAGUCUGACGGAGCAACGCCGUGUGAGUGAAGAAGGAUUUCGGUUCGUAAAACUCUGUUGUUAGGGAAGAAAAAAUGUAUAGUAACUAUAUACAAAAGAGACGGUACCUAACCAGAAAGCCACGGCUAACUACGUGACAGCAGCCGCGGUAAUACGUAGGUGGCAAGCGUUGUCCGGAGUUAUUGGGCGUAAAGCGCGCGCAGGUGGUUUAGAAAGUCUGAUGUGAAAGCCCACGGCUCAACCGUGGGGGGUCAUUGGAAACUAAUAAACUUGAGUGCAGGAGAGAAAGGUGGAAUUCCUAGUGUAGCGGUGAAAAGCGUAGAGAUUAGGAGGAACACCGGUGGCGAAAGCGGCUUUUUGGCCUGCAACUGACACUGAGGCGCGAAAGCGUGGGGAGCAAACAGG